UCAAACUUGGUCAUUUAGAGGAAGUAAAAGUCGUAACAAGGUUUCCGUAGGUGAACCUGCGGAAGGAUCAUUGCUGGGGUGUUUGCCAGAAAAGAUAAGAGAAAUCUUGUUGUACCCUCUGGCAAACCAUUCCUUAUCAUCCAUCUUGUGCACGUAUAGAAAGAAUUGCUUUGGCAAAUUCUUGGAAACAAGGAUUUGCCAAAGGUUUUUUUAUAUUUGAACCUAGCCUGUUUAUUAGACUGAGUUGUCAAAAAGUAGCAAUAAAUACAACUUUCAACAACGGAUCUCUUGGUUCUCGCAUCGAUGAAGAACGCAGC
rnacentral:misc_RNA from 1 species